AAAUUGGAGGCAAAAGUUAAACCGAGCAGUAUUGGUUCCAAGAAAGAAAACUUUGUGACUUGCCUUGAAUUUAAGCCUGGAAGGUGGGAGCUGAACCAACAGCUUAAAUCUUACUUCUGAAGAUUUGCUCAGCCUACAUAUUUGGCAUCACAACUAGAUGAACUAUUGCCAUGAAGGAUGGGACCAUGAGAGAUUUGUACUUGGCAGUUGAGGAACUUAAUUUUCUAACAAAGAACAUGCCAACAUAUACCACAUGGCUGUUUGUCUUUCUUCUGCUGCACAACCCUCAUGGAGAUAUGUUGAUCACUUGGCUGGCUGGAUCUAAUAAAUCUUCAUUGCGACAAGCCUGUGCCCAUGUGUGCUGAAAUGCUUCUUCCUCAUUUUUACUCAUCAGUGGGAGACUCUGGUUCCAAGAUUCAGAAGGGGACUAAUUACUAAGCUGUUCUUAAAGACAAGAACGAAUUUUGCACCUGAGUGCUUACAAGUCAAGCAUAGGGGAAAAAUUAACCACUUUUAGGAAUACCAAUUAGAAGUAAUAUUAUCUUGAUUGGCCUGCAAACACCCAAAUGAUUCAUUGAGUGCAUUCCAGUCUUGUGA